rnacentral:rRNA from 1 species
GCAUGCAAGUCGUACGGGGUUAUAGUUUUCGAAUUAUAACCUAGUGGCGAAUGGCUGAGUAAUACAUAGGUAACCUGCCUGUGAGUGGUGGAUAACUUGCUGAAAAGCAAGCUAAUACAGCAUACGAUAAGCAAGUAUUUCUUGUUUAUUAAAGUCUUCGGGCGCUCGCAGAGGGGCCUAUGCCUGAUUAGCUAGUUGGUGAGGUAACGGCUCACCAAGGCGAUGAUCAGUAGCUGGUCUGAGAGGAUGGUCAGCCAGAUGGGGACUGAGAUACGGCCCCAACUCCUACGGGAGGCAGCAGCAAGGAAUAUUGGGCAAUGGGCGAAAGCCUGACCCAGCGACACCGCGUGAGGGAUUAAGGCCUUCGGGUUGUAACCUCUUUUCUCGAGGAAGAAGUUCUGACGGUACUCGAGGAAUAAGCCACGGCUAACUACGUGCCAGCAGCCGCGGUAAUACGUAGGUGGCGAACGUUAUCCGGAUUUAUUGGGCGUAAAGAGAGUGUAGGCGGCUUGUUAAGUCGAGUGUUAAAUCUUCUGACUCAAUCAGGAGCUGCAUUCGAUACUGGUAGGCUUGAGGGCAGCAGAGGAAAACGGAAUUCCCAGUGUAGCGGUGAAAUGCGUUGAUAUUGGGAAGAACACCAGAGGCGAAGGCGGUUUUCCAGGCUGUAUCUGACGCUGAGACUCGAAAGCGUGGGGAGCGAAGCGGAUUAGAUACCCGCGUAGUCCACGCCUUAAACGGUGAACAUUAGGUAUGGGAAGUAUCGACCCUUUCUGUGUCGUAGCUAACGCUUUAAAUGUUCCGCCUGGGGAGUACGGUCGCAAGGCUAAAACUCAAAGGAAUUGACGGGGGUCCGCACAAGCAGCGGAGCGUGUGGUUUAAUUCGAUGAUACACGAAGAACCUUACCAGGGUUUGACAUGUCAGAAGUAGGAAACCGAAAGGUGGACGACCUGUAUCCAGUCAGGAACUGUCACAGGUGCUGCAUGGCUGUCGUCAGCUCGUGCCGUGAGGUGUUGGGUUAAGUCCCGCAACGAGCGCAACCCUUGUUCUAUGUUAAUUUCUCAUAGAAGACUGCCUUGUACAGCAAGGAGGAAGAAGAGGAUGACGUCAAGUCAGCAUGGCCUUUAUGCCCUGGGCUACACACACGCUACAAUGGGUAAUACAGAGGGUUGCCAAAGAGUGAUCUGGAGCCAAUCCCUUAAAAUUAUCCUCAGUUCGGAUUGUAGGCUGAAAUCGCCUACAUGAAGUCGGAGUUGCUAGUAAUCGCAGGUCAGCUAUACUGCGGUGAAUACGUUCUCGGACCUUGUACACACCGCCCGUCACGUCGUGGAAGUCGGAAACACUUGAAGCCAAUGUGUUAACUUGUUUUCAAGAAAUAGUUGUCGAAGGUGGAGCUGAUAACUGUGGCGAAGUCGUAACAAGGCA